rnacentral:rRNA from 1 species
CUGACGAGAGUCGCAGAUACCAGGUGGCUGCAACUGUUUAUUAAAAACACAGCACUGUGCAAAAUCGUAAGAUGACGUAUACGGUGUGACGCCUGCCCGGUGCCGGAAGGUUAAUUGAUGGGGUUAGACUUCGGUCGAAGCUCUUGAUCGAAGCCCCGGUAAACGGCGGCCGUAACUAUAACGGUCCUAAGGUAGCGAAAUUCCUUGUCGGGUAAGUUCCGACCUGCACGAAUGGCGUAAUGAUGGCCACGCUGUCUCCACCCGAGACUCAGUGAAAUUGAAAUCGCUGUGAAGAUGCAGUGUACCCGCGGCUAGACGGAAAGACCCCGUGAACCUUUACUACAGCUUGGCACUGAACAUUGACCCUACAUGUGUAGGAUAGGUGGGAGGCUUUGAAGCACGUACGCCAGUAUGUGUGGAGCCGUCCUUGAAAUACCACCCUUGUAGUGUUGAUGUUCUAACGUCGACCCCUAAUCGGGGUUGCGGACAGUGCCUGGUGGGUAGUUUGACUGGGGCGGUCUCCUCCCAAAGAGUAACGGAGGAGCACGAAGGUGGGCUAAUCACGGUUGGACAUCGUGAGGUUAGUGCAAUGGCAUAAGCCCGCUUGACUGCGAGAAUGACAAUUCGAGCAGGUGCGAAAGCAGGUCAUAGUGAUCCGGUGGUUCUGAAUGGAAGGGCCAUCGCUCAACGGAUAAAAGGUACUCCGGGGAUAACAGGCUGAUACCGCCCAAGAGUUCAUAUCGACGGCGGUGUUUGGCACCUCGAUGUCGGCUCAUCACAUCCUGGGGCUGAAGUCGGUCCCAAGGGUAUGGCUGUUCGCCAUUUAAAGUGGUACGCGAGCUGGGUUUAGAACGUCGUGAGACAGUUCGGUCCCUAUCUGCCGUGGGCGUUGGAAGAUUGAAGGGGGCUGCUCCUAGUACGAGAGGACCGGAGUGGACGAACCUCUGGUGUUCGGGUUGUGUCGCCAGACGCAUUGCCCGGUAGCUAAGUUCGGAAUCGAUAACCGCUGAAAGCAUCUAAGCGGGAAGCGAGCCCUGAGAUGAGUCUUCCCUGAUACUUUAAGUAUCCUAAAGGGUUGUCGGAGACUACGACGUUGAUAGGUCAGGUGUGUAAGUGCUGUGAGGCAUUGAGCUAACUGAUACUAAUUGCCCGUGAGGCUUAACCAUACAACAC